rnacentral:lncRNA from 1 species
CAUCAUCUCUUUCAGAUUAACUCAGUCUCAUUUGGGCAAAUAAUUAAUCACUUUUUAUUCAAAUGCUCUAGAAGGAUUGUUAUCUCUUCCUUCUCAGUGGAUCUCACAACCUGAUCUUUCCUUCUAAUACAGUGUUUGGGAACAGAACAAGUAAGAAUGGACAGAGGAAUACCAUGUGCUGACUGACGAACGCCUGGGUUUCUGAACCAAUUGCCAUCAAGGGGAUUGGGAUUACCAUAAUUUUUGCUGAGACUAAGCCCCACCCCAGUAACCAAAGGCUUAUGGGUGGAAUGCAAGCUAUUGGAAGUAUUUGAAGAUGUGACCAAGGAAGCUAUGAGAAUUGGAAAUGAGGCAGUUGUUUAGAAACGGGCUGAUGUGCUUGUGGCAGUGUUUCAAGAACCCAGCUCCAUUCAUCCUAUGAUGCCACCAUCCUCAGCAUUUGACUUCCAUGGCUCCUAUAUGCUGCCAAGAGAAUUUUUUUCUUUAAGAACAAAUAAACUAAAGAAAUUAACAUCCA